rnacentral:rRNA from 1 species
CAGCCGCCGCGGGAAUACGAAGGGGGCUAGCGUUACUCGGAAUUACUGGGCGUAAAGCGUGCGUAGGUGGUGGUUUAAGUCCGUUGUGAAAGCCCUGGGCUCAACCUGGGAAUUGCAGUGGAUACUGGGUCACUAGAGUGUGGUAGAGGAUAGUGGAAUUUCCGGUGUAGCAGUGAAAUGCGUAGAGAUCGGAAGGAACAUCUGUGGCGAAGGCGACUAUCUGGUCUGUAACUGACGCUGAGGAGCGAAAGCGUGGGGAGCGAACAGGAUUAGAUACCCCCGUAGUCCCUGUCUCUUAUAC